UCCAGGUCCACCACCGCCGGGGCCUCCAGGUCCCAUCGUACUCAAAUUUUUGAUACUCUUAAACCGAUGCAGAAAUAAUGCCGAGGUUAGCGUCUCCGUAAACAGACACUCUCAAAAUGCACGCACAUCCUUCUUCCUUAAGUAAACAAAUUCUCUCGUAAUAACCUACCAUUCGCGAUCGCGGAGCUAUUCUUGUUUCAACUACCAUUCAAAUGUAUAUCCUCAGCUUAAGUAACCAUGUUUAAUUGACAACACUUCAAUUAUUUUAUUUCAUUUGGACCCAG